rnacentral:rRNA from 1 species
UACGAAGGGGCUAGCGUUGUUCGGAAUUACUGGGCGUAAAGCGUGCGGCAGGCGGCUUCUCAAGUCAGGGGUGAAAGCCCAGAGCUCAACUCUGGAAUUGCCUUUGAGACUGAGUGGCUUGAGUACGAGAGAGGUGAGUGGAAUUCCCAGUGUAGAGGUGAAAUUCGUAGAUAUUGGGAAGAACACCGGUGGCGAAGGCGGCUCACUGGCUCGUAACUGACGCUCAUGCACGACAGCGUGGGGAUCAAACAGG